rnacentral:rRNA from 1 species
UACGAAGGGGGCUAGCGUUGUUCGGAUUUACUGGGCGUAAAGCGCGUGUAGGCGGGCCGUUAAGAUGGGGGUGAAAGCCCGGAGCUCAACUCCGGAACUGCCUUCAUGACUGGCGGCCUGGACUCAAGGAGAGGCAAGUGGAAUUGCGAGUGUAGAGGUGAAAUUCGUAGAUAUUCGCAGGAACACCAGUGGCGAAGGCGACUUGCUGGACUUGUAGUGACGCUGAGACGCGAAAGCGUGGGGAGCAAACAGGAUUAGAAACCCCGAGUAGU